rnacentral:lncRNA from 1 species
CUGCUCUAAAAAAGAAAUUGAAAAUUGACAUCUGUCUUCACCUGUCAUUUUUAUCUUUCUCCUAGAUAAUGGUUGCAGUGUUGGGGACCAUUUGUUCCAAGGAGAAGUGUGUUGAUCAUAGCUCUGCAUCUGCUGUUCCCAACACCACAGUCCCUGGAGCAGCUCUUCUUGGCCACCCAUUGCAGGAAGAGAAAAUCUUCUCUUCAGAAAUCUUACUUUGAUGUGUACUGGGAAAAAGUGAUUUUCUCAGAUGUAAGGAAACAGCAGAACCUGCACAUUGAGAUGAGUACUUUUUUUUCAGCAUCAAAUGAACAGUUCAGAUGUCAGACCACACCGAUUGCACUAGUGCUUGCUCCGGGAUCUUCCAUGCACCAUGAAUACAGGAUCAAGGAUUCAGAAUAUGUGCCUUGGUGUAUCUUUAUAACCAUCUGACUGUCCCCAAAUCCUUAUUUUGUCAAAGGUUGGAAGGAUUACUUGUAGAAGGUGAUAGGUGAUGUGGACUUUUCAGAGAAGUCACAAGAUUCCCUCCCAAGGACUCCUAUACUAAAGUAAAUAUGAAAAUAGAGUCCUCUUUGACUAUCUCCUUGGAUAGAAAAUAUUUUCAUAAUACACUGCAGUCAUGGUUUUUUUUCCAUCUGUUAUUCAGAAGGAUCACAACAAACAAAACUCAUUCUCCUAAGGGUGCCGAAGACCAACAGCUGUGUGCCAGAAGGAAGAAAAGUCCCAUUGAAGGCAGGUCAUUUUGGGUGAUUACAUCAAAAUCUUCUGGACCUGAGGGAUGGAGGAAAUGAGGUGAAACAAAAUUACCUUAUAAGCUUAUUGAUAAGAGAUGGACUUACAUUUCUGGUCCAUGAAUGUUUCAUAUAAAAUAUUCCAAUAACAUUUUGAAAGCAGUUACCAAUCACUCAAAUCAAAGUAGGCCUACCCUUAAAUUAAAUUAUUUUAUAAGUGGAACCUACAAAGAAA